rnacentral:rRNA from 1 species
AAUGAACGCUGGCGGCGUGCUUAACACAUGCAAGUCGAGCGAGAAAGUCCCUUCGGGGAUAAGUACAGCGGCGAACGGGUGAGUAACGCGUAAGAAUCUACCGUUUAGUGGAGAAUACCCUCGAGAAAUCGAGGUUAAUACUGCAUACGUCCCUUCGGGGAGAAAGAUGGCCUCUUUGCUAUCGCUGAAUGAGGAGCUUGCGUACUAUUAGCUAGUUGGUAGGGUAAAGGCCUACCAAGGCAAUGAUGGUUAGCCGGCCUGAGAGGGUGUACGGCCACACUGGAACUUAGACACGGUCCAGACUCCUACGGGAGGCAGCAGUGGGGAAUAUUGCACAAUGGGCGAAAGCCUGAUGCAGCGACGCCGCGUGGAGGAUGAAGGUUUUAGGAUUGUAAACUCCUGUUAAGUGGGAAGAAAAGCCUAUUCCUAAUACGGAUAGGUUAUGACGGUACCAUUAGAGAAAGCACCGGCUAACUUCGUGCCAGCAGCCGCGGUAAUACGAGGGGUGCG